rnacentral:lncRNA from 1 species
GAUUAGCCUUCCUGAAACUGUAACUGGCAGUGAAAUCCUAUACACGUCUGCUUAGAAGCAGUCCCCACCGAAUUAAUUGGUCUUACCCUCAGGUAAAUGUGUUUAGAGCUAGAGAUUAAGUACGGUUUGAGAAAAGAGAAGACACGUGUCUGGGUACAUCCGGGAUACCCCUGUGACUUAGUAUAUCCCUUCAGCGUUCAGCUUACAAAGAGAGGAGACACGUUUAAGGAGCAAAACAGCAACCACGGGCCGCGGAAUUUGAUCAGAUCAUAUUUGGCUGUGUGUGCUGUGGCAUUGGGUAAGAAUACAAGAGUGACAUACUUCAACAGCCAGAUUCAUCAGUCAAGAUUAUGUUGCGGGCUGAGGUAAUAAAGUUCAA